UACGGAGGGUGCAAGCGUUAUUCGGAAUUACUGGGCGUAAAGGGCGUGUAGGCGGCCUUGUAAGUCAGAUGUGAAAGCCCACGGCUUAACCGUGGAACUGCAUUUGAAACUGCUUGGCUAGAGUACGGGAGAGGGUGGCGGAAUUCCCGGUGUAGGAGUGAAAUCCGUAGAUAUCGGGAGGAACACCAGUGGCGAAGGCGGCCACCUGGACCGUAACUGACGCUGAGACGCGAAAGCGUGGGGAGCAAAC
rnacentral:rRNA from 1 species